rnacentral:rRNA from 2 species
UUUAUAUGAGAGUUUGAUCCUGGCUCAGGAUGAACGCCGGCGGUGUGCCUAAUACAUGCAAGUCGUACGCACUGGCCCAACUGAUUGAUGGUGCUUGCACCUGAUUGACGAUGGAUCACCAGUGAGUGGCGGACGGGUGAGUAACACGUAGGUAACCUGCCCCGGAGCGGGGGAUAACAUUUGGAAACAGAUGCUAAUACCGCAUAACAACAAAAGCUGCAUGGUUUUUGUUUGAAAGAUGGCUUUGGCUAUCACUCUGGGAUGGACCUGCGGUGCAUUAGCUAGUUGGUAAGGUAACGGCUUACCAAGGCGAUGAUGCAUAGCCGAGUUGAGAGACUGAUCGGCCACAAUGGAACUGAGACACGGUCCAUACUCCUACGGGAGGCAGCAGUAGGGAAUCUUCCACAAUGGGCGCAAGCCUGAUGGAGCAACACCGCGUGAGUGAAGAAGGGUUUCGGCUCGUAAAGCUCUGUUGUUGGAGAAGAACGUGCGUGAGAGUAACUGUUCACGCAGUGACGGUAUCCAACCAGAAAGUCACGGCUAACUACGUGCCAGCAGCCGCGGUAAUACGUAGGUGGCAAGCGUUAUCCGGAUUUAUUGGGCGUAAAGCGAGCGCAGGCGGUUGCUUAGGUCUGAUGUGAAAGCCUUCGGCUUAACCGAAGAAGUGCAUCGGAAACCGGGCGACUUGAGUGCAGAAGAGGACAGUGGAACUCCAUGUGUAGCGGUGGAAUGCGUAGAUAUAUGGAAGAACACCAGUG